GAUGAAGAACGUAGCGAAAUGCGAUAAGUAAUGUGAAUUGCAGAAUUCAGUGAAUCAUCGAAUCUUUGAACGCACAUUGCGCCCCUUGGUAUUCCGAGGGGCAUGCCUGUUCGAGCGUCAUAUUAACCACUCCCGCUUGCGGGGUCUGGGCUUCGCCUCCGGGCGGGCCUUAAAAUCAGUGGCGGUGCCGUCGGGCUCUACGCGUAGUAAAUUUUCUCGCGAUAGGGUCCCGGUGGAUGCUUGCCAACAACCCCCAACUUCUUAAGGUUGACCUCGGAUCAGGUAGGGAUACCCGCUGAACUUAAGCAUAUCAAUAAGCGGAGGA
rnacentral:misc_RNA from 1 species